rnacentral:tRNA from 1 species
GGGGCUGUAGCUCAGUGGAAAAGCGCUUACCUCGCAUGUGUGAGGCACUGAGUUUGAUCCUCAGCACCACA